rnacentral:rRNA from 1 species
AUUGAACGCUGGCGGCAGGCCUAACACAUGCAAGUCGGACGGUAGCACAGAGGAGCUUGCUCCUCGGGUGACGAGUGGCGGACGGGUGAGUAAUGUCUGGGGAUCUGCCCGAUAGAGGGGGAUAACCACUGGAAACGGUGGCUAAUACCGCAUAACGUCGCAAGACCAAAGAGGGGGACCUUCGGGCCUCUCACUAUCGGAUGAACCCAGAUGGGAUUAGCUAGUAGGCGGGGUAAUGGCCCACCUAGCCGACGAUCCCUAGCUGGUCUGAUAGGAUGACCAGCCACACUGGAACGGGGAGACGGUCGAUGCGCGGACGGCAGGCAGUAGUGGGGGAAAUUGCACAAUGGGCGCAAGCCUGAUGACGCGAUGCCGGGUGUAGUGAGGAGGCCGUUGGGUUGUAAAGUACAGUCAGCGGGGAGGAAGGCUGUGGGAGUAAUAGCCGUGCCGCGUGGCGUUCCCCGCAGUGGAAGCGCCGGCUAACUCCGUCACAGACGCAGCGGUAA